AGUGAACGCUGGCGGUAGGCCUAACACAUGCAAGUCGAACGGCGGCACAGUAAGAGCUUGCUCUUACGGGUGGCGAGUGGCGGAAGGGUGAGGAAUAUAUCGGAAUCUACUUUUUCGUGGGGGAUAACGUAGGGAAACUUACGCUCAUACCGCAUACGACCUACGGGUGAAAGCAGGGGAUCUUCGGACCUUGCGCGAUUGAACGAGCCGAUGUCGGAUUAGCUAGUUGGCGGGGUAAAGGCCCACCAAGGCGACGAUCCGUAGCUGGUCUGAGAGGAUGAUCAGCCACACUGGAACUGAGACACGGUCCAGACUCCUACGGGAGGCAGCAGUGGGGAAUAUUGGACAAUGGGCGCAAGCCUGAUCCAGCCAUACCGCGUGGGUGAAGAAGGCCUUCGGGUUGUAAAGCCCUUUUGUUGGGAAAGAAAAGCAGCAGGUUAAUACCCCGCUGUUCUGACGGUACCCAAAGAAUAAGCACCGGCUAACUUCGUG
rnacentral:rRNA from 1 species